rfam:Heterocephalus glaber contig191398, whole genome shotgun sequence.
GGAUGUGGCUCAGUGGUAGAGUGCUUGCCUACCAUGCAAGAGGCCCUGGAUUAGAUCCACCCAUCCA